rnacentral:rRNA from 1 species
AACGAACGCUGGCGGCAGGCUUAACACAUGCAAGUCGAACGGUUGUAGCAAUACAGCAGUGGCAGACGGGUGAGUAACACGUGGGAACCUUCCUAGAGGUACGGAACAACGCAGGGAAACUUGCGCUAAUACCGUAUACGCUCGAGAGAGGAAAGAUUUAUCGCCUUUAGACGGGCCCGCGUCGGAUUAGCUAGUUGGUGAGGUAACGGCUCACCAAGGCGACGAUCCGUAGCUGAUCUGAGAGGAUGAUCAGCCACACUGGGACUGAGACACGGCCCAGACUCCUGCGGGAGGCAGCAGUGGGGAAUCUUGGACAAUGGGCGCAAGCCUGAUCCAGCCAUGCCGCGUGAGUGAGGAAGGCCUUCGGGUUGUAAAGCUCUUUUGUCAGGGACGAUAAUGACGGUACCUGAAGUAUAAGCCCCGGCAAACUUCGUGCCAGCCGCCGCAGUAA